rnacentral:rRNA from 1 species
GAUGAACGCUGACAGAAUGCUUAACACAUGCAAGUCGAUGGGGAAGUGGUGCUUGCACCCUGGCAACCAUGGCGGACGGGUGAGUAACGCGUAAGGGACUUACCUGCAGGACUGGGAUAACAGGGGGAAACUCCUGACAAGACCGGAUAAUGUCAUGGAGCUGCAUGGCUUUAUGAUGAAAGGAGACGCCUGCGGAGAGCCUUGCGUCCUAUUAGCUAGUUGGUGAGGUAAUGGCUCACCAAGGCGAAGAUAGGUAGCCGGCCUGAGAGGGUGGACGGCCACAAGGGGACUGAGAUACGGCACUGACUCCUACGGGAGGCAGCAGUGGGGAAUAUUGGACAAUGGGGGCAACCCUGAUCCAGCAAUUCUGUGUGCACGAAGAAGGUUUUCGGAUUGUAAAGUGCUUUCAGCAGGGAAGAAGUAAGUGACGGUACCUGCAGAAGAAGCGACGGCUAAAUACGUG